AAGUCGUAACAAGGUUUCCGUAGGUGAACCUGCGGAAGGAUCAUUACAAAUAAAGCUGGUAGGAAGUGGGGUCUUGAUCUGUAAGUGGUAGAGCGAACAGUCCGGCUGCCUCCCGAAAUGUCUUACAUCCCCAUCCCCAACGCCUGCAAGGCCAGGAACUUGAAUCAAACCCCUUUGAUUAUCUACACUUGUCUUUGGGGUGUGCUCAAGUGCCCCCAGAGGACCCAAACUCUCUUGCAUUUAGUGACGUCUGAGUACUAUAUAAUAUUUAAAA
rnacentral:misc_RNA from 1 species